GAUGAAGAACGUAGCGAAAUGCGAUAAGUAAUGCGAAUUGCAGAAUUCAGUGAAUCAUCGAAUCUUUGAACGCAUCUUGCGCUCCUUGGUAUUCUGAGGAGCAUGCCUGUUUGAGUGUCAUUAAAUUCUCAACUACACUGACUUUGAAUUGGUGUGGCUUGGAUUUGGGGGGGAAAAUUGUUGUGGGCUUUUUGUAUAGUCUGCUCCCCUGAAAUUGAUUAGCGGUACCUUUGUGGAACUGUCUACAGGUGUGAUAAUUAUCUACAUCCUAGACAUCUGCUGGAAUGCUGCUUUCUAAACCUUACUUGUAUUGACAAUCUUGACCUCAAAUCAGGUAGGACUACCCGCUGAACUUAAGCAUAUCAAUAAGCGGAGGA
rnacentral:misc_RNA from 1 species